AAAGUGGUGAACCUAGUGAAGGAUGUAUUUAUAUCUGCAGCUGAACGCGACAUAUACACUGGAGAUGCAGUGGUUGUCCACGUUAUCACAAAGGACGGCACCACCACCGAGAGAUUCCCACUCAGGAGAGACUGAAAGCUGCUCUUGUACGACGUCAAUGAUUCCACAUUUAGUGCUAUGUGAAUGUACUCUAUAUGUUAAUGGUUGAAUGAACCAUUCUUCUCGUUACAUCUGUUUCAUUGACAGGUGAAAACUUGGCUCAUUACAUCAUUAAAUUUUGUAACAUUAAAAUUCUUUAAUAAAU
rnacentral:misc_RNA from 1 species